GUGAUUAUGGCGGAAAUGGUAUACGCGUUAGACUAAGGAUCUAAUGAUUAAUUAGUCAUGGGGGUUCGAGUCCCCCUAAUCACA
rnacentral:tRNA from 2 species